rnacentral:rRNA from 1 species
GACGAACGCUGGCGGCGUGCCUAACACAUGCAAGUCGAACGGAACUGUUUUGAAAGAUUUCUUCGGAAUGAAUUUGAUUUAGUUUAGUGGCGGACGGGUGAGUAACGCGUGAGUAACCUGCCUUCAAGAGGGGAAUAACAUUCUGAAAAGAAUGCUAAUACCGCAUGACAUAUCGGAACCACAUGGUUUUGAUAUCAAAGAUUUUAUCGCUUGAAGAUGGACUCGCGUCCGAUUAGUUAGUUGGUGAGGUAACGGCUCACCAAGACCGCGAUCGGUGGCCGGACUGAGAGGUUGAACGGCCACAUUGGGACUGAGACACGGCCCAGACUCCUACGGGAGGCAGCAGUGGGGGAUAUUGCGCAAUGGGGGCAACCCUGACGCAGCAACGCCGCGUGAAGGAUGAAGGUUUUCGGAUUGUAAACUUCUUUUAUUAAGGACGAAAAAUGACGGUACUUAAUGAAUAAGCUCCGGCUAACUACGUG